AGUGAACGCUGGCGGUAGGCCUAACACAUGCAAGUCGAACGGCAGCACAGUAAGAGCUUGCUCUUACGGGUGGCGAGUGGCGGACGGGUGAGGAAUACAUCGGAAUCUACUUUUUCGUGGGGGAUAACGCAGGGAAACUUACGCUAAUACCGCAUACGACCUACGGGUGAAAGCAGGGGAUCUUCGGACCUUGCGCGAUUGAAUGAGCCGAUGUCGGAUUAGCUAGUUGGCGGGGUAAAGGCCCACCAAGGCGACGAUCCGUAGCUGGUCUGAGAGGAUGAUCAGCCACACUGGAACUGAGACACGGUCCAGACUCCUACGGGAGGCAGCAGUGGGGAAUAUUGGACAAUGGGCGCAAGCCUGAUCCAGCCAUACCGCGUGGGUGAAGAAGGUCUUCGGGUUGUAAAGCCCUUUUGUUGGGAAAGAAAAGCAGCAGGUUAAUACCCCGCUGUUCUGACGGUACCCAAAGAAUAAGCACCGGCUAACUUCGUG
rnacentral:rRNA from 1 species